rnacentral:rRNA from 1 species
CCUACGGGGGGCAGCAGUGAGGAAUAUUGGUCAAUGGACGAGAGUCUGAACCAGCCAAGUAGCGUGAAGGAUGACUGCCCUAUGGGUUGUAAACUUCUUUUAUAUGGGAAUAAAACGUUCCACGUGUGGGAUUUUGUAUGUACCAUAUGAAUAAGGAUCGGCUAACUCCGUGCCAGCAGCCGCGGUAAUACGGAGGAUCCGAGCGUUAUCCGGAUUUAUUGGGUUUAAAGGGAGCGUAGGUGGAUUGUUAAGUGAGUUGUGAAAGUUUGCGGCUCAACCGUAAAAUUGCAGUUGAAACUGGCAGUCUUGAGUCCAGUAGAGGUGGGCGGAAUUCGUGGUGUAGCGGUGAAAUGCUUAGAUAUCACGAAAAACCCCGAUUGCGAAGGCAGUUCACUGGACUGCAACUGACACUGAGGCUCGAAAGUGUGGGUAUCAAACAGGAUUAGAUACCCUUGUAGUC